GAUGAACGCUGGCGGCGUGCCUAAUACAUGCAAGUCGAGCGAACGGACGAGAAGCUUGCUUCUCUGAUGUUAGCGGCGGACGGGUGAGUAACACGUGGAUAACCUACCUAUAAGACUGGGAUAACUUCGGGAAACCGUAGCUAAUACCGGAUAAUAUUUUGAACCGCAUGGUUCAAAAGUGAAAGACGGUCUUGCUGUCACUUAUAGAUGGAUCCGCGCUGCACUAGCUAGUUGGUAAGGUAACGGCUUACUAAGGCAACGAUGCAUAGCCGACCUGAGAGGGGGGUAGGCCACAAGGGAAAUGAGACACGGUACAGACUCCUACGGGAGGGAGCAGAAGGGAAUCUUCCGCAAUGGGCGAAAGCCUGACGGAGCAACGACGCGUGAGUGAUGAAGGUCUUCGGAUCGUAAAACUCUGUUAUUAGGGAAGAACAUAUGUGUAAGUAACUGUGCACAUAUUGACGGUACCUAAUCAGAAAGACACGGCUAACUACGUG
rnacentral:rRNA from 1 species